rnacentral:rRNA from 1 species
UGGAUCCAGACUUUGAUCAUGGCUCAGGAUGAACGCUGGCGGCGUGCUUAACACAUGCAAGUCGAACGGAGAUGUAAAGUGAGCGGGAAGUGCCUGCACAGAACAAUUAUGAUACAUCUUAGUGGCGGACGGGUGAGUAACGCGUGGGGAACCUGCCUUAUACCGGGGGAUAACACUUAGAAAUAGGUGCUAAUACCGCAUAACAGGAGUGGACGCAUGUCUAUUCCUUGAAAACUGAGGUGGUAUAAGAUGGACCCGCGUCUGAUUAGCUUGUUGGCGGGGUAACGGCCCACCAAGGCGACGAUCAGUAGCCGGCCUGAGAGGGUGAACGGCCACAUUGGGACUGAGACACGGCCCAAACUCCUACGGGAGGCAGCAGUGGGGAAUAUUGCACAAUGGGGGAAACCCUGACGCAGCGACGCCGCGUGAGUGAAGAAGUAUUUCGGUAUGUAAGGCUCUAUCAGCAGGGAAGAAAUAAAGGCCUUCGGGCUUUGAGACGGUACCUGACUAAGAAGCCCCGGCUAACUACGUGCCAGCAGCCGCGGUAAUACGUAGGGGGCAAGCGUUAUCCGGAUUUACUGGGUGUAAAGGGAGCGUAGACGGCAAUGCAAGUCUGAAGUGAAAGGCCGGGGCCCAACCCCGGGACUGCUUUGGAAACUGUGUAGCUGGAGUACAGGAGAGGUAAGUGGAAUUCCUAGUGUAGCGGUGAAAUGCGUAGAUAUUAGGAGGAACACCAGUGGCGAAGGCGGCUUACUGGACUGUAACUGACGUUGAGGCUCGAAAGCGUGGGGAGCAAACAGGAUUAGAUACCCUGGUAGUCCACGCCGUAAACGAUGAUCACUAGGUGUCGGGGAGUAUAGACUCUUCGGUGCCGCAGCCAACGCAGUAAGUGAUCCACCUGGGGAGUACGUUCGCAAGAAUGCAACUCAAAUGAAUUGACGGA